ACAACCCCCAGAAGUCUUCUGAAGCAGCUGUUCAUGUGCUGACACAAGUCAGCCAACUCACAGAGGCGCGCCAAGUACCUAUGAAAAGUAAGACCAGGAGAGGGCCAGGCAGCAGGGGACUCACUGUGCAGCUCAGACUAGACUCAAUGUUGCAUCCUUCUUUGUCAUUUAUGAUUCCAGUCCAAAGAAUGAGAUGGGAAACCAUGAAAGACCCACACAGCUAUGUUGCGGAUUCUUAGGAACAAGAAUCCUGUACUGGAGGAGGCAGCAAAAGGUCAGCUCAAAAGGAAAACGAGACCAGCUUGGUAACCCCUGAGAAGGCUCUGUGCAUGUGGUCUUGUGUACACAAACAGACAUGAAGCCUGAGAGCAAAGCUGAGAAAUACAAUCACUGUAGUUUC
rnacentral:lncRNA from 1 species